GUGAUGGACAUUCCUGUCAAAAUGAUGCAGGUUUGGAUGAUCGAACGAUAGCGUUGAUGGUUUCAAUAAAUGUGCUGGGUGUUGCGGUUUUUGCUGCAGUAGCUGCCUUUACGUACUUUAAGCGAAAGGUUCCAAAGAUCUUACCCGAGAAUGAAAAAGAAGUUGAGCUUACUCCUGUCAAGCCAUUUAUAUAUGGGCCAAUUGCUGAAGUAGAAUAUGGGCCAUCAAAGCCUGUUUUCAAGACUUUUGUGUUGCAAAAUAUCCGAAACGCCAAAGAAUGAAAAACUUAUCUUAAAGAUUAGAAGACGUCCCAGGGCCACGAUAUUAUGUUUUCACAACGAUAAACUUGUUGAAUGAUUUAUAAGAUUUGAAAAGCAGAUGUUUACGAUUGAAUCCAGACUAUUAAAGACAAGGAAAAUCAAGCCUUACUAGAGUGAAAACAGCUGUUUUUUCUUCUCCAGAGGUUUCUUUUUCUGAAGAGUUUAUUUUACUAAGAAUUAAUUUGCCUUUGAAGGAAAAUAUUGUUAUUAAGAUGUGUUGCUUUCUUUUAUUAAUCUGUAUAUUUAUUUUAAAACAACAUAUAGCUGGGAUGAUUUUAAUCAAUGUGCAACUGUUAAUCGUCAUUUCUUUGUUUGUUUUUAACUGAAUGUUAUGAUUGUUCGAUAAUUUUAUUUAACAUUAGGCUUCAUGCCGCUGUCUUGUUAUAUGUUUUAUUUUUUCAAUAUGUAUUCCUUUGAUUCCGGCAUGUUAAAUGACUCGUCGUAGUCAAUAACCUUUUUAAAUAUCAGAGCAUUAUUAACCUGUUUGAUUUUUCUUUUUAGAUCUGAACUCUACGAACACGUAUAUCGGUUAAAAACACAAGAUUAUUAGGUUAUAUAACAGUAAUUUUGCUAAAAAUGUGCUUCCGUGGUGUAGUAAAAAAGUCGCUAAUAAAUAGAUCCUAAUUUUUCCAUUGUUCGCGCAUUUGCGCGUAAACCGGGGGGCCAAAUAGGCACUAUUUCACUCGUUGAAUGUAUUUUACAUAAAUAAGACACUUUUCAUGCUUAUAUUCGCAUGUUUUCGAGUUGUUUACUUAAAAACGAAAAUAGGAUGUUAAUUCUGCAGAUCGCUUUCCAAAAUGCGGCAAGAUGAAGGUACCUCACUUCAGUUGACUUGCAUUUCACUGCAUACUAUUCAACAUCCCGUUUUCUUUUCGUUUUCUUGAAGCAAAUGUGGAAAAUAGGUCUACGAUGGAGUGAAAAUCUAUAAACUGUAUCAAAAUUGAUCUGAAGCAGCUGAAUUUUAUAUGAAACAAAGAACAAUUUCAUUUAUUGGUAUACAGCCACUAUAGUUAAGAAAUGGAAAAUAUACUUGUUGGUAAUGAGCUGCCUUUGAGUUGACAUUCCGUAUACUAGUGUUAUAUAUUUUGACAUUCGACACCCGAUCCUUGAUACUUUGUAACAGUUUCUAUUGUGUGUGUAUGAUUUAUACAUCUGAAUUCAUGAUACAGAGUACUGCAAACUCCCAUUUUUAAUGUUAUUUAAAUCGCAAUUAUUUGCCAUGAGGUAGAAUUGUCCGGUGUGCUUGCUUUGUUAUACGCACAUGCUUCAUUUACGGGAACGAACGAUUCGCCGUCCCGAGUUUAAUUACAUUUGCUCGGAGACCCGAAGAAAUGUCCGCGGCUCCGUAUACGUUUUGUGUCCAAUUUCUAAUGAUUGCGUACGAUAUUAUUUUAUUUGCAUAAUGUUAAUAGUAAUCUUUGAAUAUUUAGCAACAUAUCGGGAUGAAUUGCAUUUGGUAUUUUGUAAUAUAGUUAAAAAUAGUCUAAAUCGCCGACGUUAUCUCCUCACAUUUUGCUGUUCGGCUACCUCCGUAAUGUGCGUGACGUCAUAAUUUUAGGCCCGGGUGAAAUUAAAUAACGCUGGGGAUAUCAUCGUGAGCACUUAUACAGAGUAGGUGUAUUUUUGGGGGUCCGUGUUUUAAGGUUAUGGGGUGGGAACGGGGCUUAUAUUUUUGUACACGGGAAUAAUGAUAAAUUAGGAACUAUAAUAUAACAUUAUAAUAUCAAUUAUUUGUCGCUUAAGGAUUUUUGCGGUGUAAUUCUUAGUACAUUUUCGGACUUCAAACAAGUUUAUUUUUCUUGUUCUUCUGAACGGACUGAAAUGCAUGCUGCUGUAUUUAUUUUUGUGGGCAUUGUUCUGGAUGUAAUUUUGGGAUGGGAUCAAUUUGUUUUGUAUUUGAGGCUCCUAUUUUGGCCGUUUAAAGUAGAUUGAAGGCGAGUUGACGCAGUCAAUCUGAUAUAGGAAAUUGACAUACAUUUAAAUAGUUCAAGGGCGAGACCGCCAUUGAUCUUUAUAGGACAGUUCUUUGUGCAUUUAAUAAGUCGGAGGCAAGGUACUGCCAUCGACCUUUUAUAGGAUCUAGAACUAUAAGUAACAAUUAAAUCUAUAUCGAAGGCGGGUUGUCGCCGUCGAUUUUGAAGAUGCUUUUUUUCUGAAGUUGAGCUAAUCCUUAAGGUAAUAAGUAGGAUUUUGCUAGAUUAAGUAAUAUAUUAUAAGGAGCCUCACUCUAAUUGUUAUAUUCUUUUUCAGGAAUUGAAUUGUUAUAUUUUGGUUUUUGUGCUAUGGGAUGGGUAGUUUUUAUGUAGGGUGUUGGGCUGGAACUUGGCGAAGUUGGGAAGUGGUAGAUUAGAGUUCUUGUUUAGUAAUUUUCUAAAUUCAUGGGGUUUUAAUUUCAUAGUAAACUUCGCCUCGCUCCUCAUAUCAUUCACUACGCAACAAGUCAAAUUAAUACUUGAUAUUUAUUACAUGCAUAAUUAAGCAUAUAAAAACAAACAGUGUUUUAAUAUUGUUAUAUACAUACAUCUAUCAUUAAAAACAAUAGUUGAACUUGA